rnacentral:rRNA from 1 species
GACGAACGCUGGCGGCGUGCUUAACACAUGCAAGUCGAGCGGUAAGGCCCUUUCGGGGGUACACGAGCGGCGAACGGGUGAGUAACACGUGGGUGACCUGCCCUCAGCUCUGGGAUAAGCCUGGGAAACUGGGUCUAAUACUGGAUAUGACUCCACGGUGCAUGUCGUGGGGUGGAAAGCCUUGUGCGGCUGAGGAUGGGCCCGCGGCCUAUCAGCUUGUUGGUGGGGUGAUGGCCUACCAAGGCGACGACGGGUAGCCGGCCUGAGAGGGGCGACCGGCCACACUGGGACUGAGACACGGCCCAGACUCCUACGGGAGGCAGCAGUGGGGAAUCUUGCGCAAUGGGCGAAAGCCUGACGCAGCGACGCCGCGUGAGGGAUGACGGCCU